CUCGUUGCAGAUCCGCUGAAUUGUUUGUGUUUUGACAUGCUCGCAAUUGCAUGUGCAGUGGCAUUAAUAACGUUGCUAGAAGAUUUGAAGACUGGUUAAUGGAACAUUUUUAAUAGUUUUCGGGAAGGAAACACAAAACGCCAACCAAAAUGUUCUUACUACCUCAUAAUGAAACUAUUGCCACAACCGCUGUCUGCAAGUACAUUUCGAAGUUGGAAAGUGAAGAGAAUAUUGUGUUUAUGCGAGAAUUACCUGGAGCAAAUGUGAUGCUGAUAAAUGUAAUCUAUUUGGCACCCAGCAGUAAGCGUUAUACGUAUGUCUUACGUUCGGUGUACAAGAACGUCAUUGAUGGCGAAUCUAAUAACAACAAUGAAAGUAAUAAUAAUGAUUGUUGCGACGCCGAAGAGAACAGGCAUUGUUAUGCCCUAAAUAGAUAGUAAUAUUAUCAAGAGAUUAACCGCGAAGACUGGUUAGAACUGAUGGAUCAGUGAUUCUGCAUUAAAAGUGUUCCGAGGAUUGAACGAAGACAGCAGUAGUGAGAGAAUGAACUGCGGCAGUCAAACAACAGAGGUGGUUUCAUCUGAGGACAUGGGACAAAUGUAUAUAUAUGUCAGUCAAGGAAAGAACGUGCCAGAUAGAAAGUUAUUGGUUGAUUCUCAGUUAAUAUGUUUUUCAUAGGCUGACAGUAAGAUUAGCUGUAUACAGCAGAAAUGUAUACAAAAUGUCAUUACACAUACAACUGCCAUUUGUAUGCUGUUAGGAUAUGCAUGUAGUGAUAGUUUACCUUGAAGUUUGUAUGCAAUUGUGAACUGAUGCCCAUCCUCUAAAUGAAUCGUUUAGGAAAUUUUGUUAAAAAGUUGCACCACCCGUAUGCUUACUUCCCAUGCCCUCGUAAGUGUUACUGUCAAGUAAUAGGAAGCAAGAAUGCCUUGACCUUGAUUUUUAUUAAUAGGUGUUCUUUGCUGAGGAUGGCCUAUGUCGGAGUCCCAGACCCUUCAGAGAGUUCUUUUUGAGAGGCAAUAGAGCAAUGUGUCUAAAUUUGGUUACAUUUUUAUGAUGCACCUUGUAAUGUAGGCUACUGUAAAUUAUAAUUCCACAGAGGCAGUUGGGCAAAAUAUUUGAUACAGGUGUCUUUAAAAUUGUACCAUACUUUUUACAGAGCAGUGACAGUUCUUGUACUGUAUUAUCUUGAAGUGUUCAUUGGAAUUUUUUUUCUAUGAUCUUAAUGUACAGGGCUGCCUAUUCAGAUAGUUAUGUAGAUAUUUUUGAGUUGUUAUUCAGUUGGUUUGUUUCUAGUUGUUUUCCUCCUCCCUGAUAUACAAUAUUGCUUCCACCUGUCAAAAUAGUAUCUGUGUAUGGAAGUUUUAUUGAGGCUAUGUAUAUGCUGUACAGACGCCAUCUUUUAACAACUGAAAAAGCAAUGCAUUUCUUAUUGUAUUGUAUAUAGUUGUUCAUUGAAUCUUUUGUUUAGAACUGAUAUGCUAUGUGAUGUUGGGCAUAUGAAGAAUUAAAUGCUUUUGUGACUAUAGAAUCAUAUAAUUAGUUACAUGUAAAGUAAAUUAAUAAUGAAGUAUUUCUACAUUGUCUUUCCAAUUGGCUUAGGUUAAAGCAUAUGCUUAUAGGCUGCACAAACUCUGUAUGAUUCAUGUUGCGGCCGAAGUGGCCGUGCGGUUAAAGGCGCGGCAGUCUGGAACCGCAAGACCGCUACGGUCGCCGGUUCGAAUCCUGCCUCGGGUAUGGAUGUUUGUGAUGUCCUUAGGUUAGUUAGGUUUAACUAGUUCUAAGCUCUAGGGGACUAAUGACCUCAGCAGUUGAGUCCCAUAGUGCUCAGAGCCAGCCAUUCGUGUUGUUUGCUUUUACUGUAAUUAACUCCCUUACAUACCCACCUUUUUUAUACAUCUUAGUGGAUUGCUGAGUAACUCAUCCUUACCUUAAUUAACAAUAUAUACAUAUUUCUUAGUUCAGAAACUUUAAAUCUAUUGAUGGCUUUGUUUACCAGUGUGUGUGUUUCUUUUUGAUAGAAGCUAGUUUCAUUUGUGAAGAGGAUGGGUUUUUGAGCUACAUCUCCUCUGAGCUGUGCAGCAGUUACAAAUAAUUCAUUAUAUGGAAGAGAGUGGUAAUUGCAGUUCAUACAAAGUUUGGUUUGUGCCGUUUUUUCUCUCCUUCCAUGAUCCUCCAAUAAAAAGAUGCUUGAUGUGUCCAAGAGAAUAACACAUGUACUUCACAUAGGUGAAGUGUAUAAUUUUUCAGAUACUACUUAUACCAGAAGUGUUCCAGGAUUCUCAUUAAGUAACACAUUGCCAGUGAAUUCUUACAGGCAUUUCCAUUGUACUUACUACUUAAUCUGGAGCACCUGUAAUUUUACAAAACACUGUGAACAACUUUUCACUGUAAAUUGUUCUUGUUUUGUAAACAAAGUUCAUAGCCCUUUCAUCUCAAUGGAAAACAAUUUUGGUCAUUUGAUGUUUCCAAAACACUUUUAUUUUGCUUCCUUCAUAUACUGUUCAGUUUUGUUGCCUAGUUACAUUUUCAUUAGAGGCUGUGAAGUUUUGGUUGUCUUUUUGUAAAUGAUGUAUAUGGUUUUCUGCCUGGUCUUCCAGUAGGAUAUGAAUUUUGCCUUUUCAUUUUUUGUUAUUUGCUAUACACUGAACAGCAGUAUUUCUUUUGUUACUGGUUAGUGCACUUUGCAGUUGACAAAAGCCACUGGAUUAAAAUGUUUUCUUCAUCUUCAGGGAGUAUAACAAGAGGAAAGUUAAGCAAUCUGAAAAUUUUGCUGCCUACCAUGUAAUACAAUUUCACCUUUAACAGCCCAAGUCUGUGGCUGCCUUAGCUAUUGGAAUACCUUCCUAGGCAGCUUCUGUGACUAUUGUCAUUUAUUCAGACUUGUAAUUUCUAUUGCCACCUAUACCUGGAAUGAGGUGCUCCAGUUAUUGACAACCAGUUGUUCCAGCGAUUGGAAUGAAAAUCUACAGAAAUAAAAUUCCUAAAUAGAAAUUCAUAAUGUAAUUAAUUUUUGUCAGUGAUUUGUUUUGUACUUCGUGUAGAAUUGAGACCUUGGUGCCAGUCAUUAACAGGGUUGUCAAAGACUGAAAUACCCACCAUUAAUAUUGACAGCUCAGUUUGAUCUUAUUUUUAACAUUUUGCUUUACAUCCUACUGUAUCAUGGAUCAGUCCAAUAUACUAUUAUUACUGAAUUUAACUUGUGAGUAUUACAUAUGAUGCAUUAAAGAGGAGCCUUGCCUCAACUUUUAGUCUUGUCGUCAGAACAUCAACAAUCACCUCACAAUUCAUUUUCACUCCAUAAGAUAGGCUACAAUGUUAUCAUACAGUAAGUUCCAUUGCCCAUAUCAAAGAGAAUGGACUUCACUUUUCUUAUUAUGUAACAAAAUUGAGAGACCAUAAGUGUUAGACUGGAGCACUGUUCAAGAGUGGAACUUAUGCUUUAUUGAUGUUUGUGUUAAUGUCUGUAUUACAUUAUCUGUUUUAGAAAAUUAAUACAAAUGUUUUAUUUCAUUUAUACUGCAUGAAUUUCAUUUUACAAAAUUUGAAGUAUUUUCAACUAUAUUCCAUCUGAUCAGUACCUGAUUAGUAUUGCAACAAUAUUAAUUCCAGGUAGUAUCAUCCACAAAUGAGGUGGCCACUAGUGCAGACCUUUGUGAUGCACCAUAUUUAAUGAGUAGUACAUAUAUUUUUUGUUAUUGUCAUAAAAUUGCACAGCAGCCAAUUACUUCCGUCCACUACAGUAUAAUCUGAGCCACCAACUGAGCAUAUUUAUGACUAGUGCUAAUAAAGUUUGUGCAGUAAUGGUUUUAGAAUUAUGACACCAGAAGUUCAGGCAUCUUAAGACAGAUACCACUUAUAUCUCCAGAAUUUAAAAACUGUAUUUUCUAUAAAUUGGUUCUUCUUAAAAUAAUGUUGUACACAGGAUAAGAGAGCCUGUUGAAAUCUCAGUGGAAUUUCUUUAUUGUAUUCUACAAUUUGUAAGUGUCCAGGCAGUUUGGAAACAGAUGUGUGUAAUUUAUUUCUUAUUUUCCCCAUUUCAUUUAUUGUGGUUUGAGCUUCACAUGUAAGAAACUAAACCAGCAUACAAAAGGACUCUCACUAUUUUGAAACAAAGUGUCAGACAAGUAACGUCUGCAUGCCCCUUUCAUAACAUUCAGUUUUUCCUUUUUAAAUAUGUUUCUGAAGAUGGUACUAUCUUUCCACUGAAAUGUGGGCAGCAUCUUUCAGUACCUCAGAUUUUUCUGUAAAUGUUCCUUCUUCAUAGACAUAGCUUCUUUUUUUUAGAGCUGGUUAUGUGAGAAGGGUUUAAUGAAGUCUUCAAUGCUCUUUUGCCAGCUCAAACCAGACUGUGUACUGUGAAUGUAACAUAAACGUCUGGCUACACUGCAGAUCAGUACACCACCACAACUAAGAUUUCUUAUUCAUGUUUCUUGGGUUCACCAAUUCACAACCAAACUCCCACCGGAACCUACAUUCAUGUACAUAAUGCAGAUGCAAAACUAAUAUUAAAUAAUGUCAGCAUACCGGUGUCUCUUUGCAUGCGCACACAUCACCACAUGCAACACUGCUUUUUUGGGUGAGCCUGCAGGUGCCUGUUCCUUUUCUGUCCAUCAGUAAUCUUCAGUUCUUGGUGAUGAAUGUCUGGCAUAUACAAGUUAUUGUUUUCUUGUUCCUAUUUUCUGUUGCACAUGGAAUGACAAGAGGAUUUCAUCCAUAUCUUUACAUGCACUGCCACUGGUGCUCUGGUUUUUGUUUCACAUUAUCAAUGGGUUGCAGCUAUUACAUACCCAUUUAAUAAAACUGUAUUUCUUCCCGUGAUAACUGUGUUGCAUAUGUUGGCAGCCUUGUGAAUUUUUGGCUGUCACACAUUACCUCCUCCUUUGUUCCAUAAUAUUUUUACUUAUUAUUUGUGUUAGUGGCAUUUAUGUUGAGAAUAGAGAAUAUCAGUGUUCCAUCUGAAUUUUUUGCCUUUUGGACAGUUAUUUUUGCUGAAUAUUUGGUUAUUAGCAAAUGAAUUAUUUGUAUUACUUGUAUUUAUAAAAUACUUGUUUGUGUAUUACUUUGUUAAUAGAAACAUUAUUCUUUACCUGAUACACUGCCAGUUCUCAACCUAGUUCUACAAACUUUUCAGCUUCUUCAGUCAGUUAUUGUAUACUUACAGCUUGUAUAAGAAGGAAGAAUGGCAUGCAUGCACAACUUUAAUUUAAGUUCACAAAUAUUGUAAGAAUACUUUGUGUAUUCAGAACUGUCAUGCCCACAUUAAUGGCACGUAACAUCAUCGCACAUACAAUAUACGUGUCCAAAGUGAUUUCAUAAUUGAGUAGCACAGCACAAGCGAAUUGCUUUGUUGUGCCCACAGAACACACAUUUGCGUACUACUAAUGUUACCAACUGCACCCAGAUCCUGACUGCCAUUUGUAUCUGUGUAUGGUCAUGUAAAAUGAGAUUCCUGCCAUUAAGUCAGACAUCUCUGAUUACUCUAUAGUUAAUUUUUCAUAGCUAAACUUAAUUUUGUGUCGACCUCAAGGAAUAUAUCAGCCUGAAUAGUAAGUUAUUCUAUAUUUAUCAAAAAAAGCCUCACUUACUGUUAGUGGUAUAUCAUAAGACUGUUUGUUCUGUCUCUCUAGUAGUAGAGUUUAAUGUGUAAAUUGUUUCUAAGUUUCAUAGAAGGUUGUAUUUUCUUAAUAAAUUUUUGAAAACUA